GUGCUUGCUUCAGCAGCACAUAUACUAAAAUUGAAAUGAUACAAAGAAGAUUAGCAUGGCCCCUGCACAAGGAUGACAUUCAAAUUCGUGAAGCAUUUUAUAUUUAA